UACAGAGGGUGCGAGCGUUGUCUGGAAUCACUGGGCGUAAAGGGCGCGUAGGCGGCUUGAUAAGGUUGCGGUGAAAGCCCGGGGCUCAACCCCGGGUCGGCCGUGGCAACUGUCGAGCUGGAGCACUGUAGAGGCAGGUGGAAUUCCGGGUGUAGCGGUGGAAUGCGUAGAGAUCCGGAAGAACACCGGUGGCGAAGGCGGCCUGCUGGGCAGUGGCUGACGCUGAGGCGCGACAGCGUGGGGAGCAAACAGG
rnacentral:rRNA from 1 species